UAUUGCACAAUGGGGGAAACCCUGAUGCAGCGACGCCGCGUGAGUGAAGAAGUACCUCGGUGUGUAAAGCUCUAUCAGCAGGGAAGAAAAUGACGGUACCUGAUUAAGAAGCCCCGGCUAACUACGUGCCAGCAGCCGCGGUAAUACGUAGGGGGCAAGCGUUAUCCGGAUUUACUGGGUGUAAAGGGAGCGUAGACGGCGAUGCAAGUCUGAAGUGAAAGGCGGGGGCCCAACCCCCGGACUGCUUUGGACACUGUAUAGCUGGAGUGCAGGAGAGGUAAGUGGAAUUCCUAGUGUAGCGGUGAAGUGCAUAGAUAUUAGGAGGAGCACCAGUGGCGAAGGCGGCUUACUGGACUGUAACUGACGUUGAGGCUCGAAAGCGUGGGGAGCAAACAG
rnacentral:rRNA from 1 species